CCUACGGGAGGCAGCAGUGGGGGAUAUUGCACAAUGGGGGAAACCCUGAUGCAGCGACGCCGCGUGGGUGAAGAAGCGCCUCGGCGCGUAAAGCCCUGUCAGCAGGGAAGAAAAUGACGGUACCUGAAGAAGAAGCCCCGGCUAACUACGUGCCAGCAGCCGCGGUAAUACGUAGGGGGAAAGCGUUAUCCGGAUUUACUGGGUGUAAAGGGGGCGCAGACGGCGAUGCAAGCCAGGAGUGAAAGCCCGGGGCCCAACCCCGGGACUGCUCGUGGAACUGCGUGGCUAGAGUGCAGGAGGGGCAGGCGGAAUUCCUGGUGUAGCGGUGAAAUGCGUAGAGAUCAGGAGGAACACCGGUGGCGAAGGCGGCCUGCUGGACUGCAACUGACGUUGAGGCCCGAAAGCGUGGGGAGCAAACAGGAUUAGAUACCCGGGUAGUC
rnacentral:rRNA from 1 species